rnacentral:rRNA from 1 species
GACGAACGCUGGCGGUGUGCUUAACACAUGCAAGUCGAACGGACAGGCCCUGCUUGCAGGGUCCUCGAGUGGCGAACGGGUGGGUAACACCUUGGUGAUCUGCACUGCACUUCGGGAUAAGCUUGGGUAACUGGUGCUAAUACCGGUUAAGGGCCAAUUUCCGUGUGGUGGUUGGACAGCUUUUUCGGUGUAGGAUGAGCUCGCGGCCUAUCAGCUUGUUGGUGGGGUAAUGGACUACCAAGGCGGCGACGGGUAGCCGGCCUGAGAGGGUGGACGGCCACAUUGGGACUGAGAGACGGACCACACGCCUACGGGAGGCAGGAGGGGGGAAGAUUGCACAAUGAGCGCAAGCCUGAUGCAGCGACGCCGCGUGGGGGAUGAAGGACGUCGGGUUGUAAGCUCCUUUCGCUAGUGACGAAGCUAUGUUGUGACGGUACCUAGAGAAGAAGCACCGGCUAACUACGUG